rnacentral:rRNA from 1 species
GUAGUUAGCCGGGGCUUCCUCACAAGGUACCGUCACUUCUUCGUCCCUUGCGACAGAGGUUUACAAUCCGAAAACCUUCUUCCCUCACGCGGCGUUGCUGGGUCAGGCUUGCGCCCAUUGCCCAAUAUUCCCCACUGCUGCCUCCCGUAGGAGUCUGGACCGUGUCUCAGUUCCAGUGUGGCCGAUCAGCCUCUCAGCUCGGCUACCCAUCGCAGGCUUGGUGGGCUGUUAUCUCACCAACUACCUAAUGGGACGCGAACCCCUCCUUCAGCGGAUUGCUCCUUUGACCUCAUCCCGAUGCCGGGUCGUGGUCUUAUGCGGUAUUAGCACUUGUUUCCAGGUGUUAUCCCCCUCUGAAGGUCAGGUUGUUCACGCGUUACUCACCCGUUCGCCACUAAAAUUUAUCUUCCAUCCGAAAACUUCUGAUAAAUCUCCGUUCGACUUGCAUGUGUUAGGCACGCCGCCAGCGUUCGUCCUGAGCCAGGAUCAAACUCUGA